UGCUCCCGCCGCGUCCGCCACCUGGGCGUCCUCUCCGCCUCCGCCUCCGCCUCCGUCCCCUCCUCGCCGCCGGGUCCGCGCUUGCGCUUGCGGUCCCUCUCGUCCGCCGCCGCGGCGGCCGUAGUGGAGGUGGAGGGCGCCAUCGCGGCCGGCCGGAAGCGGGGAGCGCGAGCUGGCUCUGCUGCUGGUGCGCGCGCGCGCUCUGUGCGCUAGCGGAUGGACGACGGCUGGCCUUGCGAGUCAGAUUGCAGGGGCUGGGUGGGAGGGAGCUGCGCUGCCGGGAUAUAUAUAUAAAGCGAGGGGAGCGGACGGGGUUAUAACUCGCGGGCAAGAUUCCGGUGUUUUUUAUCACCGGAUGGAUGGAUGGAUGGGUGUACUCUUACUCUGCUUCCAUUUGUUUUGUUGUUUUCUUGUCUUUGCUUUGCAUGGGUGAAACCAGAGCCUUUGACGCAGGCGACGUGUACACCUUCAUUUCAUUUCAUUUUAACUGUUCUUGUCAUGGUCAUGCCGAGGACAAGUGCUGGUAGGCGUACGUUGACGGGGGCUUGCCGUGGUGUUCCUCGCCGGUGGGGUGGGGUGGUGACGGCAGAGGGCCGUACGUGAGCGAGCGAGGGAUAGAGUCCAGCGCGGCGGUGGACAUGAUUAGGCAUAGGCAUAGCUUUCCUGCAUGCCAUGUUCGGUUGCCUCGUGGGCGCUGCUUAACAUGGUGCCAGGGGUGCUCACAUGCGCAUGCGCCACCUCCUCCCUCGUGUAGGCACGCACGCACGCCCACGCACAUUCUGCUCCGCCACCUACCUCCGCAUACGAAUCGUCCCAUCAUACGGUGCAGCACCUACGCUUAUACGGUGGUAGUAGUCCUGUGGUACGUAGUACACCGGUGAAAGCUGCACCGCAAAAACAAAAGCGGAUGCUUUCCGCCAAAAAGUAGCAACGCACUACUACUCCCUUCGUCCCAAAUUAUUUAUCUUAUAAAUAAAUAAAAAUAAAUAUAUUUAAAAUUAAAAUACAUUUAUAUACAUUUAUUCUAAUUAUAAAUAUUAUCCAAGGGAGGAGUAAUUUUUUGAGGAAAAGCUCGUGCCUUCCGAAAGAAAAUAAGCCGCCAUGCUUAUCAAUGAUGUAGUAAAACAUAGAGCUUUCUUACGGUACCUUAUGCUGUUAUUGAAGAGGAGCAGUAUAAGCCUCAUCUAACCGUUGAUUUUUAAAGUAUUAUGGACUUGUUCAAAGGACAAUUAGGUCAAUGGUUCUAACUUCUCUCGUAACCAUAAAGGAAGAUUGAUUCUCCGCCUCUGCACCGCUCAGCGACGUGAGAUGAUUGGCGCAGCCGUCCGUCGCCACUGCGUUCGUCGGGACUAUGACGCCCUCCGUAGCUUGACGUGAAACAUCUAUUACACUGGAUGUUCGAGCGCUCGCAUGCGACGCCAUCUAAAUGGAGGAAAUUACGUCCCCUGUCCAAUUAGGGUCUAGGGAUCUUAGUGUAGAAUUCAAAGCAAGGUCUCGUUCUUCUGAUGAAAAAUGAAAUUGCGGACCAAACUAAGUAAAUUAAAUGUUAAUUUGGUCCAGCAUGGACCAGUCUUAUCUGACAAUUUUGCCCUUGCGGAUCGGUAUACUUCUCACGAUUUUGACCCCUCUUAUUUGUGCACUGCUCGUUAAUCUAAGCAGUAUAAGUGGAUCUACACCACUUGAUUAAGGAGAAUGGACGGCUCUGGUUCAUUAGAGGGUGGCGUAAAAGAGCUCAAAACAUAACUCAGCGAUAGUUAAUAUGGAUCCCCUAAAUCAAAUGACGGUUCAGUCAGUUUGCAAAACUAAAAUGAUAGUGGUUCAGUCACCGUGCAACAAUGAAUGCACUUUCCUUGCACAAUAUUUUGUUGUUGUAAACUUUACAAAUUCAACGUUAGAUUUUUAGCAUUUGCCAGCGAACAUCCAGAUUUGUCAUGCAAAGACAAAUGAAUCUGGCAUGCUGGUGUUAAAUUUUAAAGUGAAAAUUGCCAUGGGCUGCAAAAAAUUAUCAAAAAAAUUGUCAUGUUACAACAAAUAAUUAUUCAAACGGGAUCUAACUUAGCUCAGGUAGUCACAUUUCUAGAGCUAAAAUCUGAUCUCACAUGUAUAUUGGGGUUCAAAAAAAGUUAGUGAUUUUUUCUUUGAGCCCUUCACCUUCCGGGGAUUAUGGGGUUGGCAAGUACCGACCGGCGGAACCAUAGAAGAUGAAGGAGAGUGCCAACAAGAUUCCACUUAUUCUAGAUUUAAAGCAGUUUGGAACGAGAUGCGCCGACCAUGAUAUUUGGAGUUCCGAGUAGGUGAUCACGCUUGACUUCGGCUUGAACCUACAAAGGAUGUGAUGCGUUGUUGAGUGAAGGAUUAGGUAUAGCUGACCGAUACAUUGGACCUUUCUUGGCCCAUAUCCCCCUCGCCCUUAAUCUCUUGUUUUGGUGGUUGGUCUCUACCUUUUUUCGUUUCUUGGCUAGUUUGUCUUCCUCUUCUAUUUGAGGGUAACGUACUAAAAGUCCUUUAUUUCACGGGAUUUUCUUUUUCUUUUCAAAUGAAUUUAUGCUUAAUCUAAAUUUAGUAAAUACCAAAUAAGUAAUAAUAAUAAUUAUUAUUGUUAUUAUUAAAAAUAUGUAUCAGUUUCCUGAAACUAACAAGUAGAGUUAUAGCUUUUAUUGACUUACUAGCUUACGGGAACGCCUUAAAUCUCAACUUACUUUGAACGACUGCUUCCCACAUGCAUUGCUGGAAAGAAGAGUGAGCCGGGGCAGAACUUGAAGCACGGGAGAAGGAAAAAAAGAAGUACACAAGGGGUUUGUAGUUGGUAUAUGUACGGUAUAGACCUUUCUUUGUGAAUAGCUAGCUCACUUGCAAGGGUGUAUACAAAGGUCUGCUUAUAUGUUCAAAAAGCCUGUAUAGAUAGCCUAGAUAGCCAAGAAGAUAUACGUAUUUCAUAGAGAUAGCGAAUAAAGUUUUUGUUAAUUUCAAAUAGGCCAUUGAAUGCAACGGCUAAUAAAGAAGACGAAAGUGCCAGAGCUAAGAGCUAAUAUAUUCUCAGUCUAAGCAUGGAUAAAGGAAUGAUAAGAAGACAAAAUCUUUCUUGGGGAUUCCGGUAUUCUAUGACUCUUUUCCAGACUAAUUCACAAUUUUUUUGCUUUGACAAUUCAAAAGUUUGUGAAGGUUUUUUACCAAGAAAUUUAUUCAUCUUUUUCUUAAAGCGAUGGACUGCUAAUGUCUCAUAAGGUCCUCCAAGAGUUUUUUUACAACUGGUUGAACUAUUUCGAUAGAUCCUUUCAUUUCAUCAAGUCGCACAAAAUAGCGGGCUAACGAAUGGGGCCGGGUUUUGGGGACAUGGUUCUAGGUGCACAGCCUAAAGCAUUUUAAUAUUCCAUAUACUGUAAGAAAUCAAACAAUUCAACUUUUUGUGUGGCGAACAUGAGUGUUCUACUCGGAUGCGAAGUUUGGCGAAGAAAUGGCUUCCGUGUUCUUCUGAUAUUUUCGUGAUAUCAAAAAACUUGAUUUGUAACUUUAAUGUAGAACCAUUUUUUUUCACAAAGAAGGCUACAUAAGUCGUUUCUUCUCGAAAUUUUAGACACGAUUUUUGCAGCAUAACCUGUUCGUUACAGAUAUAUUUCAGAAUUGUUAGACCUUUUUGUUAUUUUUAAAAUAUUUUUCAAUGUGGAUACGCCAAGACCCAGGUUCCUUAUUAUUGCUAGCAAAUCCCCUUCCUUUUGCCAUUGGACGUCUUCAUGAGAUUUUCCCUGCUUUCAUCUGUUUUCUUUGAGAGAAAGUUACUGCUUUCUGCCCAAAAAAAGUAAUAGUAAUGCACUUGUAAUAAUAAGGAUAAGGCCCUUAAACAAGAACAAGGUUUUUCUUUUAGAGAGAAAACAAGAACAAGGUUGAGGUCAAAAGGAGAGUAGAGGAGAGCUCCUGUUUGGCGACAGUGUGGAGUAGGUGAACCAGAUCAUGGUUCACCCGCAGCUACCAAUUCUGAAACGAUUCUUCUUCUACUACUGAUUUCGACACGUUGUAGUUGGGUGGAGAUAAACAUGAUUAAUAGUAUAAUUAACCCAAGUGCCGGACGGUUGCUUGCUUGGACUGGCUUACCAUUUGACGCAGUACCUAACCUGAGGGAUAGAAAAGUUAAGCGCUGCAUCAGUGCCGACGCACGCGGCGGCGGCAGGAGCAUCACGUUCCAUGUCGCGUGGCCUGCCCAGUGCUCACGCACGAGCGCGAGCGCGAGCACGAGCACGAGCACGAGCAGUCUCGCUGGCUGCAUAUGGCCACAUGCACAUGCACAUGCAGGCUCUCCGCUGGAAAUUACAGCGAGUUCAGAGACGUUCACGGGCCAUGAACAUGAAGCAUGCUGGCGAUUUCUGCCACGUAAAGAUGCAUGUGGGCGCUGGGAUUUGUGAAUCGGCAAUGGCAGCCGAGGAAUGUAAACGCGCGCAUGCAUGCAUGCAGGCCGGGAGCACGGGCCAAAUCCGGACAGUGGAACUAACUGUAUGCAUGUCAUGGCGAUGCCUCACUCUGCUAGCCUGCUUUGGCCGCUGCAGGGUUCCCAGGCCGCUCAGAAUGUGGCAGCCUGAGCCCUGAAUCAGUGCGUGCGCGCGUGCAUGCAUGCUCUCGUGUGCCCUGCGAGAUGCCACGCCAGGACGUGAAUGCAUCAAUCCUGUGUGCAUCGUACGGGCAUUUGCUAUGCCAGUACGCCUCAGAGUGCUCUCUGCCAAACCUCCAGGCUCACUUCUGAGCUCUGACGGACGGCUUAAAUUGGAGGAGAAUCUAGCCUGCCGCCACCUCCCAGAAAUCGCCGUUAUCUUAUCCAUCGAUCUUUUCCCCUUUUACAUACGCGUCCGUCCCCGGCCAGUGAUAAUCGAUCGUCUCCACGACGCCUGGCCCCGGGCCAUGCGGACGCACAGCAGGCCCGGCGAGCGUGCGCCGACCAAUCCUUGGCUAACGGUUUCGCUGUGCGGGAUCGGCCUCCGGCUCCGGCGCCGGCGCCGUCUGCUGCCGGUGGUGGUGGAGCCUGGCAUCCUGUGGCAUGCGCGGUGGCCUAUGAUGGAUGCUCCGGCGCGUGGGCGGCCACGGGCGGAAAGCCUGGAAUGCUGGGCAUUUUUCUACUACUACCACGGAUCAGGAGGCCGGUCUGCUCGGGCACAUGGCCGGCCGCCCCGAUUCAGCACGAGCACAUGAAAUGAAUCCUCCUGUUCUCAGCCGCGUCACGGUCGACUCCAUAGUGCCACGACGGGCUUGCCUUUCCCCGUCGACCAUGGCCGCCGAAUCGAAGGUGCAGACUGUUGCUAGAUGUUGGGGCUUGUAUAAUAAAGCAACAGGAUGCGGGAGCACAAGGUCUGCAUCCGCGUAAUGUGUGAUGAGGGCGAGCACAUGCCAGGCGAGCCGAGCUGAGCGAUUAAUCUAUCUUGGUUCGGUCGCUCCAGAUUGGAUCCUCGGUGCAGGCAUGUGCGAGGCAAUCACAUUUUCCGAACUGGGCUCCUCCCCUUUCCAUUACGUUCAUAACGAAAAUACAAUGUUUUUCCAACCAGAAACAUAUUGAAGGGAAAGGAAAGAAGCGGGCUCGUGACAAUACCAGGAAACCCGUCAUCUAUGCCUGUCAUCAUCAGGCAUGUGCGAGGCAAUCACAUGGGCCGAUAAUGGUAGUGUUUUUUUUUUUCCUUUGGUUAUAAGCUGGGCGUGACAUUUGGCGGCGCAAAAGUCAAGAGCAGAGCAGAUAGGAGCGCGUCGUUGGUUGGUGCGUACACAUGCAGGCCACUACACUGCAUCUGCAAUGCUGCCGGGAUUAUACUACUAACAACUGAAACAAUCAGGCAGGCAGUCAUGGAGCCGGUCGGUCAGGUAUCUUAUGAUUUGGACCGAGGGAUUUGGUUGCAUGCAUGUCAACCGUGACGUGUGUAUGGAUCCAAUUCCAUAUCCAAUGCAUCGCUCAACAACCAACGGAAUUGCAAGCAGUGUGAUGAUACUGUUGGGACAGAAGCUGGACGCGUGGAUCCACGGUACGUCGGUGUUUCUUGCCAGUUUCCUCUCCUGUAAGAGACGGAUGGCAGCUUCAACAAAGAAACUUUAACAGGUGGAUGGGGGUAUAUCAUACGGGACCAUGAAAGGGAUGUCGUGGUUGCUGCUGCGGGACGGCUGGAUCAUGUCAAUGAUGCGCAUCCAUGCUAUCCACAAGGCACAAGAGCUGGGCAUUGGCAACACAGUGGUAGAAACAGAUGCUCUUCUGCUUGUCUCGGCGAUCAAGACCUCUAGCUAUGAUCUUGCACCAAACGGUGCUCUGUUUAAGGAGAUCAAAGCUUUCUCUUCUCUAAAUUUUAUUUCUUUCGACAUUGUUCAUCGUCCACGGGUAUGUAAUAAGGUUGCAGACGUUCUUGCGCUGCAUGGGUCGAAGAUGGUGCUUGCGCCCCAAGCCGUAUGGCCGGGUCUUGCUCCUACCUUUGCCUAAGUUCUCGUUGCCAGCGAUUCUGCUUGACGCGGUGAUGAAUGGAAUGAAAUAUUCCCAGUUAAAAAAAAAGAGAUGGAGCGGGUUUUUUUUUAACGGCGUGGUUGAAUUAUUUGAAGGAGCGACUGAAAAUCUGCGUUGAUCUCAAAGUGAAGACGCUCGAUGACGAGUGAAAGCAUUACGUCAUAGCAGGGUACAAAAAUAAUUCUAAGCAAAAUCAUAGGUAAUUCUUAUUUGACACUCAUUGCAUCAAACUUUCGCCAAAACGCACUGUAAAUGCGCGGCCCGAUUAGUUGUACCAUAAUUUAUAGGUAUCCAGUUUUAGAAACCUUCUAAAAUGUUUCUUCACCUGUCUGUACCGGCUCUCUUUCGGAUUCUAUCCAUUCUUUAUUUCUGCUAUUUUAUUUAAAAAAUAUUCAAAGCUUAAAGAAAAUUAUUCAAAAAUUCAAACUAUUUAUAUACGUUCAAUAUAUCAAAGAAUGUUCUCAAUGUUUUAAAAUGUUCAUGUUCAGAUUUUUUUUUUUAAAUCACAGUUCAGACAAAUGUUCAAAUAUGAUAGUCUGGUACCAAAAACCUUUUUUUUUUGUGAAUCAUAGUGCCAGUUGUUGGCCUGAACUUUUUUUUAGUUUAGCUCUUUUUAGGUAACGUAGAAUUCAUUUUUUUAAAACUCCACAACUUCAUUAAACAUCUAAAAUGUCUUGAAUAACACGGUUGAGUUAUCUGAAGGAGCGAACGAAAAAAUCUGUCAGUUGUUGAUCUUAAAAUGAAGACAUUGGAUGACGAGUGAAAACAUACGUCGUCGUAUGAUAAUUCCUAUUUAACACUUGUUGCAUCAAACCUUCACCAAAGCGCACAGAGCAGAGAGAGCGAACAAGGUAAGUGGACUGCUCAAUUUGUUUUACACACAGUACGAACGCUCAUAUAUACGCACAUAUACUCAACAUUAAUGUACAUUCGAAAGACGGAGAUGACACAUCACUUUAAGAUUGACGAAAUCGCCCAGAAGCCUUUCCAUAAAUUUAGUUGUGCCAUAAUUUAUAGGGUUCCAGUUUCAGAAACCUUCUAAAAUGUUUCGCUUUUGCUUAUUUGCCUUUGGCUCUUUGCAAUUGUUAUAUUUACUGGUUUGUACCGACUUUUUUCAUUGUUUUGUUUUCUGUUAUUUUCCUUAAAAAAACUUCAAAACUUACAAAUAACUGUUCAAAAAUCCAAUAUAUAUAUGUAUUUUCUUUAAAUUUCCAAAGCUUCAAAAAAUAUUUGUGUUUUUCAAAAAAUAUUUGAAAAUAGGAAAAAAAUGUUCAUGUCCACAUUUUUUUAAAAAUGUUCAAAAUAAAAAAAAAACAAAUAUGAGAAUCGGGAACAUGUAACCAUUUUUUAGGAAUCACCGUGUCAGUUGUUGGUCUGAACCCUUUUUGUAAGAUCUAGCUUUUUCUAGAUAUCGAAGAAUUCAGAUUUAUCUUAUAACUCCACGUUUAUUAAACAUCUAAAACGUCUGUUACAUGAAUUAAAGAAGAAAGCCGAAUAUGUGCACCAACUGCUAGAGUAACUGCAGCUCUGGUUAUUCAUGUGCUCCGAAGUUUGUCUCCUGUGCUUCAUGCGCAAUUUGUGAAGUUGCAAACUGAUGCCACCUUGCUUGGAUAUCCUUAGCGAUCAUGGAUGACGAUCCCAGAAACGGUUCCCUAAGAUGAUUCACUAUAGCUAAACAGUAUGUUGCAACUCUGAACUCUUGAACAGCAUGCAUGCGUCUCCAAGAUUUCAUUAUCCCAGAGGUCCGUUGAAGAUAGAACUCGAGCACAUAGGGGCGCGUCGUCAUACACAUGCAGACCACUACACUACAUCUGCAAUGCUGGGAGCAAAUAAAAAUAAAAAAUACUAGUAUAAUUGAAUCAAUCAGGUAUCUUAUGAUUUAGACCAAGGGAUUUGGUUGCAUGCAUGUCAACUGUCAUAUGUAUGGAUCCAUAUCCAAUGCAUCGCCCAACAACCAACGGUGUAGCAAGCAAUAUGAUAUGGUAAUGUUACAAAUCUGAAGUCAGAUUCUUAAGCGUGACAAAUCGAAUGUUUUCAUUUUUAAAUUUUGUUGACGUGACUACGUGAGGAUACGAAAUUUAGUUUAGGAGCAAGACAAUUUUCCGACAGAAAAAUAAACUGAGAUAGAUUUGCCACGUUUGCCAACUAAAUUUUCUAUCCUCAACAAACACAAAUUGCCAUAAAAAAAAUUCAAUUUGUGAUGGUCAAAAAUCAAACAUCAGAUAUGUAGUGGAGUCCAUAUGAUACUGUUCGGACAGAAGCUCGAUCGACGAUACAACGAUGUAGUGCCGGAGCAUGUGUCCUCUCAUGCUAGGGACACAUGGGUUGAACUGCUUGGAGCCAAUCAUCGUGUCAGUUGUUGGGUUUAGCUUUAUUUAGGUAUCAUAGAAUUUAGCUUGGCUACAGUGCUUCGCUAAUUUCGUUGGCGGCUCGAAUCAACGGCAUGGAAAGAAGAGUGCUCCUAUAUGAUGCUUACUGCAUCAUAUAUAUAGUUGCACUGACGCACAGGCACACGGCAUAGACCGGCGACCUAGUUCAGGUACGGUGAUAUUUCUUGCUGAAUGUGUUUACGGGAGUGCCCAGUCCAUGGGUACCCUCUCAUCUGGCUUCCAAGUGGACACUCCUGAGGCACGCGGGAGUGUUUGUGGCGCCACAUGUUGCGUUUUAACGUUGUUAAUCUAGUUUAUGUUUCCCUAGGUUUUAUAUUUUCCUGUUUCUGCUCUUUUUUAUUAUUAUUCUUUUUUCGUUUGUGCUUUUCCAUCGGAAGCAUAUUCGCGCUCACGUGUUUUUUACUCCCUCCGUUCCUAAAUAUAAGUACAUCUCCUCUGAAGUGUACCACUCCUCUUAAGGAAAUAUUUGUACCAGAGGGACACACGGAGAAAGGUAAGGUUGUGAGUGGAUCGGCCACUAGGGGUCCGUCUGCUCACAACAAGACAACCGAAUUCAUGCCGCCAUCCUAUGUACUACGCAAAUCAAAGGAAGGAAAGGUCUAUGCUAAAUUCGUUGGUCCCCGUAAUGCAUUUCGAUUCUAUGCUAUUUGGGUCCCUAAGACUCUUGUAACUAAUGUGAAAGGCUCCAUGACAAAAUGGGUACCUCAAACCAAGUCUUAAUUCUUUACAGGCUAUUUUCUCCGGUGGAGCAAAAUGGGUGAUCGACAGUGGAUGCACCAAUCAUAUGACCGGAGAUAGUAACUUGCUCUAUGACUUCAUGCAAGCCAUUCGACCAUACAUGAGCAUUGUAUUUGGUGGAGGGUCGAAAGGGCAGGUAAUUGGGUUGGGCAAGGUGGCAAUCACUAAUGACAUGUCUAUUGCAAAUGUCAUGCUUGUUCAAUAUCUUCAACAUCAUUUACUUUCAGUUCGCCAAUUGGCUUCCGUCGGUUAUGACACACUAUUUGGACUAACGGAUGUGAAAGUCUUUAAGAGAGACACUCUUGAAGUGGCUUUUGUUGGAGAGUUGGAUAGCAACCUUUACACGGUUGAUUUCUCGAAAGAGAGCACUUUCCAUACAACUUGUCUAAUGGCCAAGGCCGACAUGGGAUGGUUGUGGCAUCGCCGGCUCGCCCAUGUUGGCAUAAAAAUCUUCAAAAUCUCUUAAACGGUAAUCACAUCCUUGGACUAACAAAUGUAUCUUUUAAGAAAGAUCGUGUGUGCAGUGCAUGCAUAGCUGGGAAGCAACAUCAAUCAAGACAUCCACUCAAGAACGUUGUAUCCACUUCAAGGCCGUUAGAGCUCCUUCAUGUGGAUCUAUUCGGGCCUCCUUCAUGGGCAAGUCUUGGAGGGAAAAAGUAUAGCCUAGUCAUUGUUGAUGAUUACUCAAGAUAUACAUGGGUGUUCUUUCUCAAGUCCAAGGACGAGACAAAGGUCACUUUCAUUGAUUUUGCUAAACAAGCCCAGCGGAAGUUUGACAAGGACAUUAAGGCAGUAAGAAGUGAUAAUGGCUCUGAGUUCAAGAACUACACCAUAGAAGAAUUUCUGAGUGAUGAGGGGAUUGAACAUCAGUACUCCGCACCCUACACUCCCCAACAAAAUGGUGUGGCAGAAAGGAAGAACCGGACACUUGUGGAAAUGGCAAGGUCCAUGUUAGAUGAAUACAAGUCACCACAUAGCUUUUGGGCUGAGGCCGUCAACACAGCAUGUCAUGCAUCAAACCGGCUCUUCCUCCGAUCAAUAUUGGAGAAAACUCCGUAUGAGCUCCUAACUAGGAACAAGCCCAAUGUUAAGUACUUUCGUGUGUUUGGAUGCAAAUGCUUCAUCCUCAACAAACGGGAACGGUUAGGCAAAUUUCAAUCCAAAACAACUGAGGGGAUUUUUGUUGGCUAUGGAUCAAACUCUCACGCCUACAGAGUCUACAACAAAUCCACUGGAUGUGUUAUAGAAACUUGUGACGUGACGUUUGAUGAAUUUAACCGCUCCCAUGGGGAGCAAGUUGAUCUAAAUGAUGCAGGUGAAGAAGACUCCCCACAAGAUAUCUUAAACAUGGGUGUAGGUGCACUUUUGCCUANNNNNNNNNNNNNNNNNNNNNNNNNNNNNNNNNNNNNNNNNNNNNNNNNNNNNNNNNNNNNNNNNNNNNNNNNNNNNNNNNNNNNNNNNNNNNNNNNNNNUGUCUCUCUCGGAGUUUCGGUUAUUCCUAACCCUAACUCUCUACUUGUGUUAAUCCUUAUUACAUACUUGUAUUUGCUUAUUGUUUACCGCUUGCCUUGCUUCACUCCUAAUAGCUUACUCUUUGUCAUAGCAAUUAUUAGGCUUACACUUAUAUUCCGCACUUUAGCCUAAAAUUGCUAAGUAAUUGUUAAAAUUUGGAUUUGUACCUAUUCACCCCCCCUCUAGGUCCAUCUCGAUCCUUUUCACUAUGGCUCUGGGCGGCCUUGACCGUGCGGUGGUCCACUCGUCGUGCGGUAAAGAGCUGCGCCAACCAUAGGGAUGACGAUGGUGGGUAUUUCCGUGAGGAAUUGGCAACCGUAGGAAGAGAAAUCAUAUCUCUUUGGUGAUUUCGCAAACCAGCCCUUGGGUUGUGCAUGAAUCACGUAAAAGUCCUAGCACUUUUUGAGUUAGCCCUCACGCUUAUCUAAAUUUGCUGCUAAGCCUCUGGCUUAUUGAAAAUUACAAAUGAGCCAUCAGGCUCAUGGGACUUUGAGGUUUAGCCCUCAGGCUUGCUUUCUUCAACAUUAUAACCAUAAGGUUAUUGGUAUUUGUGUUUUAUGCCCCGAGCAUUCAGAGCAAAUAUACAUGGUAGACUACAAGGUCUUGCUGAAUUGCAUAAUAAUUGGUUAUGCAUCAUUUUACAUCGUCUAAAAUGACGGUUUGAGGCCCCAAGUCCUCAUAUGUGUUGCACAUGUAUGUUAAUACUUUUGCAUUUAUUUGUAUUACAUUAGUAAUACUGUUGCAAAGCAAUAUGUUGACUACAUUAUUCACAUAGAAUAUGGAAUUUGCUUGCAAAUUUGGGGAACAUAAGAUAGUCAAGUGUAUGAUACUGUCUGACUAUGUCAAAUGUACACUUGUCACAAUAAAUUGACAAAUAGUACCCACUGCUUAAUUGUAAAUUAUUCAAUGUUAUUGUGAGGUCUAUAUUAUGUCGUUUCGACAUAAUGACCACCUUCAAUUUUUGCACACAACUUAUGGAUUGUUUUAUGGCAACGAAUUAACUUUCGUUCACAACUGUGAGGUCUACACCACCAUGUGGUGAUUACCUUCAAUGAGUUUUAACUAACAUAAGGUUGUGAGAAGCUCCAUAAGAUUGACGUCUACACUACUCAGUAGUGAUUAUCUCCAUGUGUUCAAAGCAAAGUGAAGGCACAAAACUGAUGACAUAGUCAUUAUGAGGCCUACACCAUUGUUGUAUACCUUCAUGAUGUUUUUCCAAAUAAUAGUCAAGUUCAUAGAAUUUCUCAUUGGUUGUGACUAUAGUGUCACAUACUCCAUCUGGAGAAGAAUCCAAUGCAUUAGUGGCGAUUAUGCUACAUGUUGUGCUAUGAAUGAAGAGAGUUAUGCAAAAUAUUUGCAUAUUUUGGUGAUUACCUUCUAUGAGUACACAACUUAUGAGAUGUGAUCAUACCAACGAAUUAAAUUUCGUGCACAACUGAGAGGUUUAUGCCAUUUCAUGGUAAUUACCUUCAUGUGUUUUAAAUAACAUAAGGUUGUGUAGAGGCUAUGAUUGACUAAAAUAUCCAUAAGAGUGAGGCACCACUACGUGGUUGAUUACCUUUGUGUUUUAUGGAAUUAAAGAUUUAUUCUUUAUGAGGUGACUAUACCUUCAAUUUGAAGAACUACAUCAUAGUGUGAUGAUUAUCUUCUUGUGAAGGCUUACUCAUGAAUCACUGAGAAUCACCAUGAUCAUGAUUAUGCUUAGUCAUAGCAUUUUCAUUGUACUUAAUUUACUAAAGGUAAAUUAAUGCAUGAGCAUUCAUGCAAUAUAUGGCGAACCUUUUUCGAAAGGAAAUGCGAUGUGAUGACAUAAGGUGGAAGUAACUAUUGAAAAUGGGUCAUGGACAUUAAUGAUUUUGUCGACCCGUGGCCUUGUCACCAUAGAAAUUCCACCUACACAGAAUGUCAUGGCUAUUUAUAAAUAGCUGAAAGGCGCAGAUUUGCAUUUAUGUGACAUCGCAAUGUCUCGGUUCUGAAACUGAGUAUUUAAAUGGAUGAUGAAUAUCCAUUUGCCCUUCGGGACUACCUUAGGGAGAGAGAUAUUGUGAUAAGCAUCACAUGAAUGACUAUUCAUUUAUGUUCAAGACUUGAAGUCCGUUGAUGCUUAUAAUUCUGUUGUCUAUAAAUCAACACUAAGUUGAGAUUAUGUGAUAAGGCAGUCUCAGAUCUUGAUCUGAUUGUAUGUCCUUACUGCACUUUACAUCCCCCUAUGAUGGUAAAAUAAACACCAUCUUCAUUUCAGGGGUAAAAAUAUGAUGACCUUCUUGUGAAGAAUCAUCUGGUACACCCCAAUGGGUGCUAUAUCAUUACCUGAAAUUUGUGCUAGUGCUUUCAGUACUAAGAAAUAUGUGGUUAGAGAACCACGAGGAGUUGAAAGUGAAGUGGAAAAAAGAGACAAGCAGAAAUGGAGUGUAUAUCUCACAAAGGCAUGUGUCAUUUAGAUAAAUGAUCACAAUGAAAACUCCCAAUUUUGUCAAAGGGGUGAUUGUAUGAAAUAUCGUAUUAAUGAUUACCAAACUUUUAAGUUUUUGGUUGAAUCAUGUCACUGACUCAUUGGAGAAGGCGAAUGAAUUUAAUGGGAUAAGUUUGAACUUCUAUUUCAAAUGGACAACCAGAAAAUAUUCUGAUGCAGUAGAAGGAGAAUGCACUCCUCUACAUUGAUGAUAUGCUUGUGGAAUGACAUUCCCAAGAUAUUUUGGAGAUCUUAUGUAGUCUCCUAGUUAUCCCAAUAUAUCAUUAGCCCAUAAUUGUACUACUACAGGUGGUAUAAUUUGCAACAUCUUGUCCACGGGACAUGAUAGUUGUGAGGAAUUGAGUGUACGAAGAAUUCGUACAUAAUAUUGUUGCGUACACAAUAAUUUUUCCUCCUUUACCUGUCUGGUAUGAGGACUGUUAGAAAAAAUAUUGAUAAUUCUGUUGGCCACAACAAUGUUGCAAUAUUCGUGACAAUCGAAAGAUUUUAUGUGCACUACAUGUGCCAUAGAGGAAUUAAUUUUAAGGCACUCUCACCUUAAAAUUUGAAUGUGCCACUCAUUAUUCUUGAAUGGAUCCAGGAAUGAUGCAAAAUAUUCAACCAUUGGCUGGGUUAUUUUGGUACUUCAUGGUAUUCAUAGACACAUCUAGAAGAUGGUCUUAGGUGUGUAUCAUCCACACAAAACCAUGUGUUUACUGAAUUAAGUGCUCAAAUUGACGAAUUUGAAGCAAAUGAUUAUAUGCAUGGGAUAAUUCCAUUGGAAUGGAAAUGUCGUUGAAUUUGAUUCACGAGAAAUCCAUGGUCAUAUUUGGUACGUCGUGUACCUACCCAGAAUGGUGUGGCUAGAUCUCUUGUCAAAAAGAGUUAAGUUGUUGUGGGAAAUCACAAGGAGUUAAGAGGCAUAACGAGAAUUCCACGAAUGAUAUCGAUUCAAGAAAAUCGUAUAUUGAAAGUCUACAUAUGUCGACAUAAAUUUCUUCUUGAUAAUUGCAGAAAUCCUUUUGGGCCCUGAACCAAAAUCCAUGGAAAGUGUUGUUGACACUUAUAUUGGUUCAAAUGAAAAGAAGCAAUUAAGAAGAGUAGCACUCGCUCAUCAAAAGAGAGGUGUUUAUCAUAGUAAAACCUGCUCCUCAUAAGUAUCUUCCUCAGUGAAGAGAAGUGAUUUUUCGUUCAGAAACGAAAUAGAUGAGGUGGUGAGAAAGCGAGGCUUGUAGCACAUGGGUUUCCGCAUAGACCCAACAUCAGUUAUGAUGUAGCAUACCUUCUCGGUAUGAGUGGAAUUAUGUUUCGAUACUGAAUUGGCAGUACAAAUCCAUGUGGUUGAUGUAUGUAAAGGCUACAUACUCACAUGGAUCAUUCAGUUUGGAUAAAUAUAUAUUGAAGUCAUGAAAUGGCUUAAUAUUCCGAAUCCAAUGAUAAGUUGCAACAUGUGUGAAGCUUCAGAAGUCAUCCUAUGACUUUGAACAUGUCGGAUAGUUGUGUGGUACAACCGACUAAAUGAGUUACUCCUCGAUAAGGAUUACUCUGACACUAAUGAUUGUUGAUGUGUAUUCAUGAAGAUAUCCUUAAUUGGAUUUACAUCAUGUCAUUGAUGUGGAUGAUCUUAUUAUCAAUGUCUAUACAUGACAUAUUAGAUACACAUAAUCAUUUUGAGACGGAUAUUUGGGUCAAACCAAAUGGUGCUAAGUUUAUAGCUUGAGCACAUUCCCUAAGGAAUAAAUGUAUGUCAGUGUUCAUAUAUCUAGAAAUAUUGAAAAAGUUCAAUAUGGAUAUAUCUUAUCAAAGACACAUAUGGUCAUAUUAUACCUGGCAUGGGACACAAGCCCAUUCAAACCUAGGGGAGAUGGUAAAGUGAUAAUGGACAUGAAGUUCCGUAUCUGAGUACCAUUGGAGCACAUAUAUAAAUUGCAAAGUAAGUCAGGCCUGACACUAUAUUUGUUGGCAAUUUAUUGAGAGUGCAUCCCCAGUAAAAGGUAUAAUGGUUGGUGUAAGGAAUAUCUUGAGAUAUGUCCAAGACACAAAAGGUCUUGAUUAAUUCCAUUGAGAAAAUCAAGAUGGGACCAUGGUAUGAUAUCCUGAUAGUGGCUGAUAAUUUGAUCCCAACAAUGCCAUAUCAAAGACUGGAUUUAAUGGAAGAGUAUUUUGAGGGAAGCCUUCAAAAUAGACUCUAAAUGAGUCCUUCCUAUAAUCAUUCUGCCAUAACUAUGUUUGAAGCAUGACAAGAUAUACAUGUAUUUGCAGAAUGACUAGUCACAUGUGAGAUCAUGUGAAGAUUCAUUGGAAUCAAUUAUCAUUAUCUACCAAGAUAAUGUCACUUGUAUUUCUUAUGGGUUAUAUUUAUCCUCGCAAAUUAUAGAAAUGUAAGAGGAUAAUAUGCAAACAAAUUAUGGUGAGGUUCAUAAUGUCUCUACCAACGUUUAUAUUCCAGAAUCGCAUUCGUGGAAUUGGUAUGAGACAACAUUGAUGUUUGCGAGGGGAGUAAAAUCCCAUGUUAUAACCUUUUGGUGAUCUUCAGAUCAUUCAUAUUGUACUCUUUUUUCCUUUAUGAAUUUUCCAAGAUGGUUUCUCAUAUAAGGUUUUUAACGAGGCAAUAUAAAUACAAGUGCGGAUGUAUGCCAUAUUGGUUUCUCCUUAUAUUUUUCCCACCGGGUUUUAAAGGAGUUUUCGAUGGCAUAUUAUUAUAAGGUUUCUCCUCAUUUUUUUCCACAGGGUUUUUGGAGGAGUUUUCAGUUUGCAAUAUACAGAUGACGAAUUGAUCAAGGGGGAGUGUUGAGAAUUAAACAUGUGAUCAAUUGUAUGGGAGGGAUGCCUCCGAGGAGGUGUCUGUUGGGGAAAGGUGUCUCCCUAACACACCCCUUCAUUUUGUAUAUAAGUGGGUCUUCCACAUUGCAAUAGAACUAAUGGAUCAUUUGGACUCUUCAGUUGUCUCUUUGCAUUCAUUCUACUAGGAGAUGUGAAGUGUGCCAGAGCAUUAACGGUAGCGCAGCCCUCAGGAGGGACCAUGGAGGAAGCUAGAUAGAUGCUUGGGGGUACAUAUGUACGAGACCUCCUAUAUGCCGCUCGCUACGGCAGUUAGUCGGUCCUAGCUGGGCCAACCCAUUAGCAGCACAGAGCAGCGAGUGGGAGGAAUAGGCACUGUAGAGUCCCCCCCCCUCUAAAAAUAGGGUACCAUAGCGCCGUGGAAGGUAAUGCAGCAAACCAUCACUGUAGCAGACGUUGGAAAUCCUAUUUACUUUAUUUUGAACGAAAAUUAAGGUUUUGAACAUUUUAUUUGGAAAUUAUUUUUUUUGAAAUUUUGAACUUUUUAAAAAUCACAAACAUUUUUUAAAUACAUGAUCAAUUAUUUAAUUUUUUAAACAUUCUUUCGGGAAUUACAAGUGUUUUUAAAAUCGCAUUGAACAUAUUUUUGAAAGUGAUAUUUUUUGAAAAAUGAAAAUAAAACGAAAAAAUAAUACAAAUACUGAAAAACCAAGAAGAAAACCGGAAAACCCCGUGAAGAAAACAGAAAAGAGAACUGGUUCAGGAAAGAAGAAUGUUAAUAAUACGGAUAAACACCCGGGAUAAAUGCUUUUUUCCAGUUUAGAGUUUAGAAUUUGGUUUAGAACAUUUUUUUGCUUUAGUUUCCUAUUUUCAUUAUUUAAUUUGUAAUUUGUUUUAAAUAUUCAUGCAAUUUUAAAGUCAUGAACAUUUGUCCACAUUGGCAAACAUUUAUUAGUUUCCUUUUUUAAUUUUUUUAACAUUUUUGAAAUUUAGAAACAUUUUCAAUUAAUCGAACUUUUUUGGGUUUCAUGGCCUUAUUUAAAAUAUGUUUAAAUUGAUCGCCAUGCGCUCGCCCGCUGGCGGAUGUAGUGGACGUGGUGGGUCGCGGUCCGUGCUGAGAUUUUAUUCCAGCCCGUAUACCAUUGGAGAAUAAGAAAUGGGCUGAAGAAAACAAAUAAAAUAAAAGCCCAGCAAUCCAGUGGCCUCGCGAGAAAAAAAAAACCCCGGCGAGUCGCGAUUCACCUUUGCGGUUCUUCCCUCUUCUGAUUUUACUCGCCGCCAGCCAGCCCUGCCGCCAGCCGCCGGGCACGCCUCGCCGGCGACUCGCUGUCGCCGGAUUCCCAGAGGCCCAGGAGCCCGGGAUGGAAGCUCAGAUUAGAGAUUAAGCUCCGAUUUGCGGAUUAUAAGCAGCGCGGGACAGGGGACAAAGAUGGCUGCUGCCGGCGCGAAGGCGGUGCCGCCCACCUUGCUGUCGCUGUGCUUGCAGGCGGUCGCCGCGCAUCUCACCGCCGACGCGGCAGGCUCGGGUCGAUCCGGCGGGUGCGGUGCUCAUUUCGACGGGCUCGUCCAGGAGCUCGAGGAGGAGGAGGAGGAGGGUGGCGGCCACCUCGCGCCGGAGCAGGUCGCGGAGGCGCUGCCUUGGGAGCUUCUCCACCAGCUGGCGUCCUAUCUGCCGCCGUUCGCUCUCGAACUGCUCCAUCACGGCGCCCAUGUCCGGUACCCUACCCCUCUCCCCGUCCUUGCCUCCUCCCAUGGACCAUGGAUUGGAUGCAGUCUCUAUCUUCUUCCAUAUGUGGAGUACAGUGUAGUGUAUUCCUUCCACUCCUUUUAGUAUUUUCUUACAUUUUCAAAGAGAAAUUGGCUAAUCAUUUUGCAUUUCUGAUUGCCCAUCCUAGAUGCUGCUCUUCUGCUUCACUUACCGAUCGGUUCGGAGAGGCCGGCGGCAACAGACGUGGGACGAAACGUUCAAGGUGACGCUCAUUUGUACACUAAUGAGUCAGCUGCUGCAUUUGUUACAAGACGUCGGCCAAGAGAAUACUCCCUCCGUUCCUAAAUAUAAGUCUUUGUAGAGAUUUCACUAGUGGACUACAUACGGAUGUAUAUAGACAUACUUUAGAGUGUAUAUUCAAUCAUUUUGUUCCGUAUGUAGACAUGUAGUGAAAUCGCUUAAAAGACUUAUAUUUAGGAACGGAGGGAGUACUCUUCAAGUAUUUGACAGUGUUGAUGCUCGCAGGUGUGAAGACUUCAACACUGCAUGGCAGGCAUUGUUCGAAUUUCGCUGGCCCCUCCACGAUAACACUGGACAUGAUGACUUGGUUACUCUAGACUGGCAGCAGAAAUACUGGGAAAAGCAUCUGCAAGAGUGUGUUAUCAAACAGUUACAGAUGGGUUAAUCGUUGAUUAAUCCAGUCUGGACUGACUUUUGUCACUUCUUUUUACCCUUCCACAGGUGCCUGGAUGAAGCUGCAGAGGCCGCGUCGCUUCCUUCAUUUCGUGGGCAUAUUGGUGAGCUAAGUAUGUCAGGUGAAUAUAUAAAACCCCUUCCUCCUUCAGUAUUUGUUAUGCUUGACAUUGGUUGGUUGUUUACUCGCCAUAGUGAACAACUAUCAUACCAACAUGAGGCCUUGAGCUGAUUUGUUUCCUAGCCAAUAACAGCUUUAAGUUAUGCUUGCAGUUAGUUGUAACUGCAUUAUUGCACCUGCAGUAGCUAUUGAAAUUAUCUUCAAGUUUAACUAUAAUCUAUGCAGAUAAAACCAUGAGUUGCGUUUACCUCAGUGAGAACAUAGCUCAGCAGUAUUCGAGACUGUCAUAUCAUUGGACCAUACUUGGAUCCUAUGCAAGGUGCGAUCAUAUUUGUCAUUUGUUUGUCAUACCCAGUUCCUCUUUAACUCAUAUUUAACCUUUACAUGGAUAACUGCCUGGUGCUAGUGAUUUAUAUUCAAUUAAAGAAACCCCCACUCGUAAGUAGUUAGAGAUCGGUAAUAAUCUGGUGGGGAUCUCUAGUCAUGUUAUGCAAUGUUAGUUUUUCCAGUUUAAUUACAACAUGGACCUAGCUCAGAUCAGGUUGCUUCCAGCAUCCUUCAAGAACUAUGUAGAGAAUAGAUUUUCUUUGUUCUUACUAUAGUAAUUUUAACUUAUUUUCAGGUGCUUGAGAUUUCAAAAUGUGCUUUGCACGGCUGAAAUUUGUGUAAGUGCUCAAGCAGUACCUUUUUCCUUUAUUUUCCCACUGUCUAUGAUUAAUUAUCCACGGUCCGUAGCAUGUGUUGUUCAAUUGUGCAUGUGUUGUUUAAUUGUGUAUUUGUAUUGGGAAAAGUCAUGGAUGAAUCCAUGGGCAUAUGAACCCACUUUGGAAAACCCAUUUUUAAUUGCCCGAAAAUUAUAAAAAAAGUUCCAUGCAUACAUCUUCACAUUCUAUGUGCGCACAGAAAAUUUCGUGGAAACACAACUUUUUGUUCGGCCUGUGCAAAAAAGACAAAAAAAUAUGUCAUCUAACGCUAUUUAGGAGCACUGAAAUUUGUCUUUUUUGCAGAGGCACAACAGGAAGAGUUUCUUCCACAAAACUUUGUGUCGGGCACACAUGUUACGAAAAUGUAUGUGUGGAAUUUUGUUUCAAUUUUUUUGACAUUUUAAAACGCAUUUAAAAUGCAUUUUUAGAAAGUGGGUUCAUAUGCCAAUGGGUUCAGUAUGUCCACACUCAUCUGUAUUGCUGUUAUUUUGUUGGUAUUUUAUUAUACAUGUACCGCUCCAUCAUCCAUACAACAACAAAUGUGCACUCAAAUUCCGGAAAAGUUGUCCUUCGUGCUAUAUAUGUUUGCAUGUGUAUGGCAUGAAAAAUGUGAAUUCAUUGUGUAAAGUUCAAACUUAAGACAGUUAUGGUUGACUGCUAGAAAUCCGUUGUUUUUCAGGACAUGUUGCAACAUAGCAGGCUAGAAACUUUGGUGUUUGUAAGAAUCAUAUCAGAGCUUGAGGUAAUAUUAUGCCGGUAAGAUUAUGUUUGUUGUUGCAUACAAUAGCUUUAGGGAACAAAAAUGCAGAGCCAUGGGCUGCAACUCAGUUAAAAGUAACAUUAUGUUCCAUAGUUCAAGUUCCCGUGUCACGUAAACUAUAUAUCUUUGUACCAUAAGAGACAUAGGGAAAGUUAAUGUUGAGGCAGCGUUGUUAAGAAGCAUGCCAAAGAAGAACUGACUAGAAAAAAAAAUUAUGCAGCAGAUAAGCUACACACUUGUAGUAUCCUUUACGGCAUGAUGGCUCGUAUUGUUGCUUUGCUCUGUUUUGUCAGCUGAUACUAAGCUAAGAGUGGUCCAAUUUUUUAAGCCCCUUUUCAAUUUCCACUGACAGGUGAAUGCUGUAUGCCGGCUUCUGAGCUGCCAUGCUAGGACACUGUUAUCUCUUGAAUUUAUCCACUGCCAGCUUUAUCCUGCAGUCAUGGAUAAAGUUUGCACUAGUCUUUACCAGCCAGGAUCCCAAAACUACAAGAUCCAGUCCUUCAGUAUUAAAUCAUCUCGCAUAAGUGAAAGCAAGUCUCUAACCACCUCUGCUGGUCUAUUAAAUUUUCUGUCAUGUGCAAAGUAAGUUGCAUGUCCUCUUAUUCCACCUUCGUUUUAUUUUUGAACAGAUGUCGGGGAAUAGCCCGAGGAACCCAACCUUUUUUCCCUUUAUCAUUCUUUUUUAGCAAUUGUUGUUGCAUUAUUCUAUACAAUGGCACUCUAAUUAGAUGCUCAGUUAAUGAUUCCAUAAUAUAAAUUAGGGAGGAAAUUUUAUCCAGCCAUUUUAUGCAUUUUUCAUGAGAAUACUCUCCUAUUCUUCCCAUGUUGUAUUUGUUAGUUUAUGCUUCACAUAAAUUUUUAUUGAAGUAAAUACUCUCCCUGACACCAUGGAAAGAUUUAACACCAUUUUGAGGGUUUUGUGGAAUGGGCGCUGAUAGUUUGGCUGUUCUAGGUCCUUCUGAAAAAUCCGGAUAUGACCGUGGGUUUAACCGGAAACUGAAAAGCGGUGCCAGAUCCAGUCAUGUUGAACUUUUACAUGUUUUACAUGAAAAAAUAGUUUGCAUUAUUUUAUUCAGAGUAUCAUGACACACCCAUGGACGAUAUGGUCAUUCAUCUUAAAGCAGAGAGCAGUAGAAUAGAUUAGAAUGCAAAUAAAAAAAAGAGGCAAGAAUAAGAGUAACGAUAUGUAGAAGUGAAAAAAGAAAUCACCUAUUCAUCCUGUCAUUCAAUUUGUCCUGGUAACCUCAUGCCUGCAUCUCCAACCUAGUCCGCUAGUCGGUUGUUUGGGAUUUAAGAUUGGUAUAUGCAACAAACUGGUUAUGGUGCCUGUCUGUAAGCAUAAAUGGCAUGAUGUUGCUACUUAAUUACUGAUUGUUUGCCAAAAAGAUUGGGUGCACAUUAGCAUUGUUUUAUUCUUACUAUUGUUCAGGUCUCUGCAGUUGCUGUCAUUUAAUGAUGCUAAGAUGCAGCCAUCAUUUGCUAAGAUAAUUAUUCGUACUCUCCUUGAAGCUUCCUCCGGUUUACACACGCUUGACAUGUCAGAAAACAAUGUGGGUUCACACAAGAAUCUUUUCUUCUUUGAUAUCUGUUUCUUGGACCCAAAUAAUCUCUCUUUAUAGUUUGCAGGCUGGUUUUCUACUGCAGACAGAAGUUCUACAAGUUUAUCAUCAGCGUUGAAGUCAAACACAUCCCUGAACUCCCUGACUGUUCUUAACCUAAGGUAUUACCUGUUGCCUUUCAGCACCCGCCAAAUCGUCAUAAUUAGAAACCUUUAUUACCACUUCCUUUUCGAAGUUGGCAUGACUUGUGUAUUAACAUAUCAAUUUGUCAUGUCAGGGGAAACAAUUUGCAGGAGGGUGACAUGGAGGAUGUAUGCAAAAUUCUAGCAAAGAUGUCUAAUUUGAGAAAUUUAGAUAUAAGCGACAAUCCAAUCACUGAUGUGGGUAUCAGGUAGUCAUCAACAUUGCACAUGUAGUGUCUGCUGCUAAUUGUAGGCAGUAGAGUUAUGCUAUAUUGCUAUCUGUUUGUCUGUUUGUCUUCAGUUUUCUCUAGAUUUGCAUCAAUCAUGAAUGGAUGCAUAAUACUUCCUCCGUUCCUAAAUAUAAGUCUUUUUAGGCAUUUCACUAUGGAUUACAUACGGAUGUAUAUAGACAGACUUUAAAGUGUAGAUUCACUCAUUUUGCUCCGUAUGUAGUCCGUAGUGAAAUCUCUAAAAAGACUUGUAUUUAGGAACGGAGGGAGUAGUUCUUUAUGCCUGUGGUCAACUUCAAGACAAUUAUUCCUUGUAGACUCUGUUAUGUCCUAUCAGUAAGCACUAAGGAGUUACAUAUAAACUUGCAGAUACCUUAUGCCUUUCCUUGAAUUGGCUCUUCAAAGGGGGAAUCCACUUCAGAGAUUAAGAGCAGAGAACUGUGAUUUGUCCAGUAUCGGUGUGACUAAACUUCUUGAGUGCCUCACAUCGAUUAAUAAACCACUUGACAUGCUGUCUAUAGCAGAUAAUCAUCUUGGGAGGUAAGUCCUUUCUCCCAGUGCAGAGUUUCUGUUGUUUCUUUAGCUUGGUUCACAUUUUGGACUAUGAUGAAUUUUCAGUUCUGUGGCAGCUACAUUAGUGAAAUUCCUGGGUUCACAUGUAAGGGAGCUAAAUGUUGAAGACAUCGGCCUAGGACCAAUAGGCUUCCAAAUACUUGAGGAAGCAUUGCCAAGGAAAGUAAAUCUCUCCCACAUCAACAUUAGGUAGAAUAAACUCUGCCCGACUCACAAUGAUGAAUGCUUGACGUGCAAGUUUCCGUAGUCACUUCAAAUUUUAUUUUGCAGUAAGAACCGCGGUGGGAUGCGUACUGCAUACUUCAUUUCCAGGCUGAUACUGCAAGCACCGAACCUUGUAUCAGUCGAUGCAGGAUCUAACCUUUUACCCCCUGAAUCGCUGGAAGUGAUAUGUAAUGCAUUGAAGCAAACAACAUGUAAGAAACACGCUUCUUCGUGUUCUCCUUAACUAUGUUCAAGGCCGUCCCUAAUGGGCAUGCACCAAGGAGAAUGGUCAAUAACCAGUGGGCCUGUUGCAGGUAACUUGGCGCGACUAGACCUGAUGGGCAACCUGCAAUUGUCGAGUGCUAUCUUUCCUGCAGUCUUCGAGUUCAACAAGCACGGAAAGCCAAUCCUGCUUGUUCCGUCGGAGCAAGGUAGCUGUGCACCCUACGAUGCCGACCCGUAAGCUGUAAGUAGCACUUAUUAUACUGAGAAUUAUGAAAGGUGUCUGUUAUUUUUCCUUUGCAAGUUUGGGUGAAACCUCCUAUUUGCAUGAUCAAGGGAUGCAUGACGCUUUUUGCUGUAGAAGUUGGAGAAAGUGCACAAAGACUUUCAGUUAAUAAAGCAAAGCUACUUGGGCAACCAGGAAAAGGAGGCUUAGACGUCGAUUGGGGCAAAUAUUUAUCAUCAUUCCUUCAGCAGAUCACACGUAGAAUGAAGUGAAGUUUAAUUCGAGAACCCAACCACGAGUUGGUUCAUGAUUGGUUCUAGGGGUGCAGGACGGCGUCCCGCAAAGUCCGGCAAAAACAGCCAGCUAGUACACAGCUAGUACAAAUUAAUGUCACACAGUUUAAGACUAUCCAUAAUGGGAGUAACAUAGGUGAUAUGUCAUGUGGGGCCAGACUUAUAGGCGCAAGGGUCCUGCACCUCCCUAAUUCUGUCCUAGUUUAAUUAUAGAGUCCUAGAUUUAGGUUCAAGAGUCUGGGUCUUAAGUUGGAAAGGUUUUGUCCCGAAGAAGGUUACCCUGCCAACCCCCAAUUAGAGUUGAAAUCUGUUCGUUUUUUAAUUGGCUACUUAUAGCCACCCCUAUGCGAUCAAUAAAGGAAGGCAGAAAAUAAUCUAUCUUCUCCCCUCGUGCACCUGCACCUCGGUGCCCCUCCUC
rnacentral:lncRNA from 1 species